rnacentral:lncRNA from 1 species
AGAUGAACAAGUCUUUUUCUGAGAUCAGCAAACAACUCUCCUCUCCUCCUUCCUAAACCACCCCCUUCCCGCUCACCCCCCCCAACCCCCGCCCAUGCUACGCUGUGGAGAAGGAGGAAGUUUUGAGUAGGCAUCCAAAGUCAACAGGGCGCAGUGAGAAGCACUUAUACUGAGUGACCUGGGAUACAUAGACACCCUUAUGGAUCCUUGACAUCUGUGCUCCAUUGCUCCAAAAGCCAGCAGGAGUCUCAAGGGGAGAAACACGAAACCUCAUGAAACUCUAUGCAGGAAAACACCUGACCAGAAGACAAGGUUAUUGUCAGGUCCAGAGGAAACCCCACUUCCCCAAAUUCCAAAAGGCAGCACCCAGAAAUGACCGUCUUGACUCAGGGUCUGCUGAAGUAUAGGAUUACUGAAGGAUACUGCCAGCGUUCCUGAGGAACCCAUGAAAGAGUUUCUGUCCACCAGAAAGAGGGCCAGAUAUCGAUCUCCUGCAGCUCCUCCUGGUGGAUCUUGAGGUUCCUUUAAAGCACCUCCACUCCUGGAACCUUCCCUGGCUCCACUAUCGAACUGCUGGGUGGGGAUCCGUUCCUGCUAUUACCCUCUUCUACUGAGAUGGGCAGCAAGACAGGACAGCACAGCUGCUCAGCAGUUCAGAGGAUGGGGAAGUUCCAGCAAGGAAAAGCAAGAAGCUCCCGAGGAGACAGGUCGUUCAAUAUUCUAGUCUAGAAGAUCAGAGACCGAAGCUGGCAUCCUGUGUUGCUGGAUUGAGGAACUAGUACUGAAUUUUGCACCUCAGCUCUACCACAACCCAGUCCCAUCUGAACAUGGCAAAUACUUCAUCCAAAAGAAUACUGUCGAUAAAAAAAAAAUCUAAGCAAUGACAUAACCCCAGAUAUAUAAAUCCCAGCAUAAGAAUCAUGGAAAACCAAGGCUAUGUUAAAUCUUGUAAAAAUUACUAAUCCUACAGCAUUCUCCCCAAUCUUAAUAAGUUAGAUUAUAUGCUAAUAAAGUCUUCAAAGAAUUCAA